AUGCAGGAGCAUUGAAGUAGGGGUCAAUGAAGAAUUACACAGAGGUCAAACUUUAAAAAUGCUCCAGUCAUGUUGAAAACUAUAUCACAUUACUUGUCUGAUCAUAACAAUCCCAAAAAGGUAAAGUUUGGAUUAUCUACGUAUGAUGGAAUGGUCUGGAGUUAUGGGGAUAAAACAGCAAAAAUGGUGACAAAGGUCAAUUUCAGUUUGUACAGGGGUCAAAAGUUAAAGUUGCUCCAGUUUCAGCAAA